GAUGAACGCCGGCGGUGUGCCUAAUACAUGCAAGUCGAGCGCACUGGCCCAACUGAUAUGACGUGCUUGCACUGAAUUGACGUUGGAUUACCAGUGAGCGGCGGACGGGUGAGUAACACGUGGGCAACCUGCCCUGGAGCGGGGGAUAACAUCUGGAAACAGGUGCUAAUACCGCAUAACAACGAAAACCACAUGGUUUUCGUUUCAAAGAUGGUUUCGGCUAUCACUUCAGGAUGGGCCCGCGGUGCAUUAGCUGGUUGGUAAGGUAACGGCUUACCAAGGCAAUGAUGCAUAGCCGAGUUGAGAGACUGAUCGGCCACAAUGGAACUGAGACACGGUCCAUACUCCUACGGGAGGCAGCAGUAGGGAAUCUUCCACAAUGGGCGCAAGCCUGAUGGAGCAACACCGCGUGAGUGAAGAAGGGUUUCGGCUCGUAAAGCUCUGUUGUUGGAGAAGAACGUGCGUGAGAGUAACUGUUCACGCAGUGACGGUAUCCAACCAGAAAGUCACGGCUAACUACGUGCCAGCAGCCGCGGUAAUACGUAGGUGGCAAGCGUUAUCCGGAUUUAUUGGGCGUAAAGCGAGCGCAGGCGGUUGCUUAGGUCUGAUGUGAAAGCCUUCGGCUUAACCGAAGAAGGGCAUCGGAAACCGGGCGACUUGAGUGCAGAAGAGGACAGUGGAACUCCAUGUGUAGCGGUGGAAUGCGUAGAUAUAUGGAAGAACACCAGUGGCGAAGGCGGCUGUCUGGUCUGCAACUGACGCUGAGGCUCGAAAGCAUGGGUAGCGAACAGG
rnacentral:rRNA from 1 species